rnacentral:rRNA from 1 species
UACAGAGACCUCAAGCGUUAUCCGGAAUCAUUGGGCGUAAAGCGUACCGAUAGGUGGUUAUGCAAGUCAGAUGUGAAAUCUCCGAGCUCAACUCGGAAUCUGUCAUUUGAAACUGCACAACUAGAGGGGCAAAGAGGAAGCUAGAACGAACGGUGUAGUAGUGAAAUGCGUUGAUAUCGUUCGGAAUACCGAUAGCGAAGGCAGGCUUCUGGGUGCCACCUGACACGGCUAGGACGAAAGCGUGGGGAGCGAAUGGG